CCCCGCUUCCCCACGCGGCCCCGCGCACUCCAAGGACCCCAACCUGUUAGGUGAGUCCCUGCCCCGGGGAGGGGCGCUGGGGGCGGCGGCGAGGAUCUAGUUGCGCGCGCGCAUGCGCCUCCCGCCCCUCUCCCGGGACACCAGGGCUGCGCGUCUCCCAGGAGGCGCCGACGCCCCUCCCUCUACAGGCGGGAAAACUGAGGCUGCGGAGGGGACGCUCUUGCCCAAGGCCCACGGCGAGGUGGGCCGAGGAAGGGGCGGGACCCCGGCCCCGAGACUCCCAGGCGCCUUUCCAGCAAGCCCAGCGUACUCUGCGUGUCGCGGGCCACUUUAGGUCUAACUGUCGCGCGUGGGUUAGUGUCGCCGCGGUGUGCGCCUCGAGCCGGGCAGCGACCGCGCCGGCGUAUCUGUGCCUCGGCGCGUCUGCGAACGGCACGUGUCUUUACAGCCGCGCGUGUGCCCGCAAGUGGGUGUGCGCGCCGUGCCGCCCGGGAAGCGGGAGGUCCUGCGGGCGUGCGCCGGACCUGUUGUCAGCAGGCCUGGCAGAUGGGAACUCAGCUCCGGAAUUAAUUGCUUGUUUGUCUCCGGCUGGGAGGCCGCCCCCCCGCCCUUCCCUGGCGACCAGUUGCUCUGUGCCUAGCCGGGCCCCAAAUGUCGCCGGCAUCCGCGGCCGCAGGCAGCUCCGGGCCAGGCUCCGGGUCAGCCCCAAAGCCCGGGUCAAGCCAGGCGGGCGCGGCGGGCGGGCUCCCCGUGACGCGAGUGCCCCCUGCCGGCCGCUGCGCACACGGCUCCGAGACUGGGGAGACAGCGCCGCGCGUCCCAGGCCUGAGGCGCACUCGGAAACUCCGAAGGUCGUGACCCGGCGGAGACCAGGACACGCGGCUGCCGGCACAUACGGUGAGGCCUUCGCAGAGACUCAGUACGUCAAAGUGACCCUUUCCGUUUUGCCCACCCCCUUUUACUUGGAUAAGCCUCCCCGCCCACGCACGCACUCCCCAGAAAGUGGGGUGGGUGAUCCCCUCCCGGCUUUCCGGGUCGUUGAUGACCUUAGGGGUUCGAAAACGCAAGGGGGUAUGGAAUAAAGUGGCAGGGGCUCUCCACUCUUUCUGAGAUCCGUAAGCCUGCAGUCGCUUUCCACCCAGCCUGGGGGGCCGGAAGCGCUUCCCCUACCCGUCUCUUCGCAGCCUGGAGAAUGAAAACGGGCGUCAGCCCACAUCUGGAUCUGGGUACUGAGGACAACACCCAAACCCCACCCCGCACUGCCGGCAGACAGCACCGCCUCCCGCCGCUCCACUGCUCCGGGACACACACUCUCUAUAUCCCGUCCCCCCACCCACACACGCAACACAGAAGCACGCAGCGGUCGGGAGCACCGGUCCUGCGCCCCUGGCCAGCCACACCCGCAACUUCAGCGCUUCUACCGCCGCGGCGCUUCGGGAAGCACAAGCUCACAUCCCAUAUCCGCAGAACACGGGGUGCACAAGGCUGGAGUCACCUCGGGGGCUCACGAUCAGUCAGGGGCCCCGACCCCCUACUUCGCCCAUCCUAGCAAGGCGCAAGAAUCACCAUAAACGCUGGAUUUGCUGACCACAUGGCCGAUCGUGACCACCUGCUCUGUACUCACCCAGGCUUCUGGUCAGGAGAGAGGCGGGGAAGAGCUGCCCCCUCCCUGCGUCCACCAUCACUCCUGGCCUGGGAUCAGGGCAAGUUAUAAAGGGGGCCAGAGUCCCCCCUUUCUCUCUGUCCCUCUCCAGGAGGACACUCUGGGGACCACCCACCCUCCUCCCUCCCCCACAGGAAGGGGACUGGGGAAGACUGUCCUCUUCCCCCAUCCUGUCUCAUCCAAGACCCUGAGCCUGGGGCGGGGAGGGGGGGGCUCCCUUCAGCGGACCAAGGGCUUCUGGGAGGCCACCCGCCAUGUCAGUGGAUUGAUUAAAGUCAUUGUGGGGAUUUUUUUUAACAUUUAAUUUACCAGGCACGCGGCGGCUGGUCAGAGCUGUCCCCAGGGAAAUCUAGACCAAGGGAGCAAAACAGAAAAAAACCUCCUACCAUUCAGCAGGGCCCCUCUGAUGGGAUUAAUUGCCGGAACUCGGCUUCCAUUCAGACCACACGCAGCAAUGUUUCAGGGAGGGAGGAGGACAUGGGGCUUGAGUGCUCAGAUUCCUUCCCUGGGUGCUUGGAGCCCAGGGCCCUCCAUACCGCCAUCUCUCCCCAGCCUGCUGGUGCUGGUCAAGAGCCCCGCCCCCCACCUCUCCGCACCUUCGUGUCUUCAUGUGUGACGAGGUGGACGGUACCCGGAGGCAGACCAGUCCCUCCAGAGCCCACCCCACCCCCAUCCACGUCCCUUCAGUGUGCAGGGCAAGAGCUGGGAGGCACCCCAGACACGCUCCCACGGAAACUGAACACUUGCCAGAGGUGUCUUUAGUAGUGGAAACCGGCUGGGUAGGAAUGGCCAAUCGUCUCUUCAUCCUUGGCGACAGUGGAUGGACGGCAGGUGGACCCGGGACAGGGACGGGCACGCAGUGUGCGGCACAGCCCCGUUGGCCUUUGCAGAGAAGGUUUAUGCUUAUGAAGGCGGGGACCUUUCCUGGGACAGACACAAGCAACAGUAGACAUGGAGUUUCACCGUGUCAGCCAGGAUGGUCUCAAUCUCCUGACCUCGUGAUCCGCCCGCCUUGGCCUCCCAAAGUGCUGGGAUUACAGGCGUGAGCCACCACGCCCGGCCUCGCUCAUUCACUCUUUCAAUUCAGUCAUCCUGGAGUCGUCCUUGACUCCUGCUUGCUCACGGCCCCCGCAGCCCAUCCAUCAGGAUCUCCUGUCCCUACCACCCUAAUGGAAUGUCAGCCCCUGGAGGGGGUUCUGCAAUGCCAUGCCUGCUUCACCACAGCCGCCAGGUGAGCCUUUAAGAAGGCGGUGGGCUCCUUCCACUUCUCGGCCCUGGCUGACUGACCCGUCUCCUCCCGCUCUGCACCCCCUACGCAUUCUGCUCCAGCCCCAAGGGCCUCCUCGCUGUUCCCAAACGUGCAGUCACCCCCAUUUGAGCGUUUGCUCCACUGUUCCCACUGCCAGGGGGCUCUUCCCCCAGACAUCCACAUGCCUGACUUUCUCCAGGUCUUUUCUUUUUUGAAAUAGGGUCUUGCUCUUUCGCCCAGGCUGGAGUGCAGUGGCGCAAUCACAGCUCACUGCAGCCUCGACCUCCCAGACUCAACCGAUCCUCCCACCUCAGCCUCCUGAGUAGCUGGGACCACAGGCACGCACCUCCACUCUGAGAUAACUUAUUGAUUUUUUUGUAGAGACCAGGUUUCACUAUGUUGCCCAGGCUGGUCUCGAACUCCUGGGCUCAAGCAAUCCUCCUGCCUCAGCUUCCCAAAGUGCUGGGGUUAUAGGCGUGAGCCACCAGGCCUUUUCUAAGCAAAGUGUUCCCUGCCCACCUUACCUAAAAUGUCAGGCCCUUCCUGCAUCCUGCAGCUUUGCCCAUGUUUCCUCUCCCUCCUUAGCACUUACCAGGAGCUGACUUAGAUGUUUCUUACUUGUCUAGUUUAUUGUCCUUCAUCCCCUUUAGAAUAUCAGCUCCAUGAGGGCAGGAAAUGUUUGGUUGAGCACCUGGCACAGCACUGAAGCUCAUUCACAUUUGUGGAAGAAAUAAAGGAAUGCAUGAACCCCAGGCUUGUUCUCUGUGCCACCAGGUCCUGCUGCAUUCCCCCUGCAGAGGGGCUCCUGUCCUUCCUAUCCCAGCCUUUCCCGGCCCUGCCAUGCCCCCACCCUAUAUUCUGCUCUGGCCACCUCACUGGCCCCACCCUGGCUCCUCUCACCCCCCACCACACUGCACCUCGAGGCUGCAGU
rnacentral:lncRNA from 1 species